GUUUAAAGAGUGAAGGUGGCAGGGAGUGAAAGACCCCCGAAGUGGGGAGACCCUCACUCAAGUCUUGGGAUGACGUGACCCCCCAAGAACUCAUGAAAGACC
rnacentral:pre_miRNA from 14 species